ACUCAAAGGAAUAGACGGGGGCCCGCACAAGCGGAGGAACAUGUGGUUUAAUUCGAUGAUACGCGAGGAACCUUACCUGGGCUAGAACGCCGGACGCAUGCGGGGGAAACCCCGCAGCCCGCAAGGGCGGCCGGCGAGGUGCUGCAUGGUUGUCGUCAGCUCGUGCCGUGAGGUGUCGGGUUAAGUCCCAUAACGAGCGCAACCCCUACCGUUAGUUGCCAGCGGGUCAAGCCGGGAACUCUAGCGGAACUGCCAGCGUAAGCUGCGAGGAAGGCGGGGAUGACGUCAAAUCAGCACGGCCCUUACGUCCAGGGCUACACACGUGUUACAAUGGCCGGUACAGAGGGCAGCCACCCCGCGAGGGGGCGCGAAUCCCGAAAGCCGGUCGCAGUUCGGAUCGGAGUCUGGAACCCGACUCCGUGAAGCUGGAUUCGCUAGUAAUCGCGCAUCAGCCAUGGCGCGGUGAAUACGUUCCCGGGCCUUGUACACACCGCCCGU
rnacentral:rRNA from 1 species